CACUCCUGCGGGAGGCAGCAGUGGGGAAUUUUGGACAAUGGGCGAAAGCCUGAUCCAGCAAUGCCGCGUGCAGGAUGAAGGCCUUCGCGUUGUAAACUGCUUUUGUACGGAACGAAAAAGCUCCUUCUAAUACAGGGGGCCCAUGACGGUACCGUAAGAAUAAGCACCGGCUAACUACGUGCCAGCAGCCGCGGUAAUACGUAGGGUGCGAGCGUUAAUCGGAAUUACUGGGCGUAAAGCGUGCGCAGGCGGUUAUGUAAGACAGAUGUGAAAUCCCCGGGCUCAACCUGGGAACUGCAUUUGUGACUGCAUGGCUAGAGUACGGUAGAGGGGGAUGGAAUUCCGCGUGUAGCAGUGAAAUGCGUAGAUAUGCGGAGGAACACCGAUGGCGAAGGCAAUCCCCUGGACCUGUACUGACGCUCAUGCACGAAAGCGUGGGGAGCAAACAGGAUUAGAAACCCGAGUAGUCCCAUG
rnacentral:rRNA from 1 species